CAGUCGCCGCGGUAAUACGAAGGGUGCAAGCGUUACUCGGAAUUACUGGGCGUAAAGCGUGCGUAGGUGGUGGUUUAAGUCCGUUGUGAAAGCCCUGGGCUCAACCUGGGAAUUGCAGUGGAUACUGGGUCACUAGAGUGUGGUAGAGGAUAGUGGAAUUUCCGGUGUAGCAGUGAAAUGCGUAGAGAUCGGAAGGAACAUCAGUGGCGAAGGCGGCCAUCUGGGACAACACUGACGCUGAGGCACGAAAGCGUGGGGAGCAAACAGGAUUAGAUACCCCCGUAGUCCCUGUCUCUUAUAC
rnacentral:rRNA from 1 species